UACGGGGGGAGCAAGCGUUGUUCGGAUUUACUGGGCGUAAAGGGCGCGUAGGCGGCGUGACAAGUCAGUUGUGAAAUCUCCGGGCUUAACUCGGAGCGGUCAAGUGAUACUGUCGUGCUAGAGUGCGGAAGGGGCUACUGGAAUUCUCGGUGUAGCGGUGAAAUGCGUAGAUAUCGAGAGGAACACCUGCGGCGAAGGCGGGUAGCUGGGCCGACACUGACGCUGAUGCGCGAAAGCCAGGGGAGCGAACGGG
rnacentral:rRNA from 1 species